UGGGGAAUAUUGCACAAUGGGGGGGAACCCGUGAUGCAGCGACGCCGCGUGAGUGAAGAAGUACCUCGGUAUGUAAAGCUCUGUCAGCAGGGAAGAAAGAAAUGACGGUACCUGACCAAGAAGCACCGGCUAAAUACGUGCC
rnacentral:rRNA from 1 species